rnacentral:siRNA from 1 species
GGUGGUGGCAUACUUAACUUGUG